GUCCCUGCAGCGCAAUGGAUAGCGCGUUGGACUUCUAAUCCAAAGGUCGUGUUCUCGAAUCCCACCUGGGAUG
rnacentral:tRNA from 1 species